rfam:Triticum aestivum genome assembly, contig: Triticum_aestivum_CS42_TGACv1_scaffold_019255_1AS
AUAGUACUCCCUCCGUCCGAAAAAACUUGUCAUCAAUAUGAAUAAAAAAGAGAUGUAUCUAGAACUAAAAUACAUCUGGAUACAUCCUCUUUUAUCCAUUUUGAUGACAAGUAUUUCCGGACGGAGGGAGUACUUC